rnacentral:rRNA from 1 species
AACGUAGGACGCAAGCGUUAUCCGGAAUUACUGGGCGUAAAGCGCGCGCAGGCGGAUUACCAAGUCAUGUGUGAAAGCUCCCGGCUAAACUGGGAGAGGACAGAUGAUACUGGUAGUCUUGAGGGUGUUAGAGGUGUGUGGAAUUCCGCGUGUAGUGGUGAAAUGCGUAGAGAUGCGGAGGAACACCAGUGGCGAAGGCGGCACACUAGGACCAACCUGACGCUGAGGCGCGAAAGCAUGGGUAGCGAACGGG